UUGUAGCCCCGAUUGAAAUGGAAAUCCUUUUUUGCAAAAGCAAAAAAGAUUGUAAUGGAAAGCGGGAACCCAU
rnacentral:sRNA from 1 species